GUGGGGAAUAUUGGACAAUGGGGGGAACCCUGAUCCAGCCAUGCCGCGUGUGUGAAGAAGGCCUUUUGGUUGUAAAGCACUUUAAGCGAGGAGGAGGCUACCGAGAUUAAUACUCUUGGAUAGUGGACGUUACUCGCAGAAUAAGCACCGGCUAACUCUGUGCCAGCAGCCGCGGUAAUACAGAGGGUGCAAGCGUUAAUCGGAUUUACUGGGCGGAAAGCGCGCGUAGGUGGCCAAUUAAGUCAAAUGUGAAAUCCCCGAGCUUAACUUGGGAAGUGCAUUCGAUACUGGUUGGCUAGAGUAUGGGAGAGGAUGGUAGAAUUCCAGGUGUAGCGGUGAAAUGCGUAGAGAUCUGGAGGAAUACCGAUGGCGAAGGCAGCCAUCUGGCCUAAUACUGACACUGAGGUGCGAAAGCAUGGGGAGCAAACAGGAUUAGAAACCCUAGUAGUCC
rnacentral:rRNA from 1 species